GUGGGGUAAUGGCCUACCAAGGCGACGACGGGUAGCCGGCCUGAGAGGGCGACCGGCCACACUGGGACUGAGACACGGCCCAGACUCCUACGGGAGGCAGCAGUGGGGAAUAUUGCACAAUGGGCGAAAGCCUGAUGCAGCGACGCCGCGUGAGGGAUGACGGCCUUCGGGUUGUAAACCUCUUUCAGCAGGGACGAAGCGAAAGUGACGGUACCUGCAGAAGAAGCACCGGCCAACUACGUGCCAGCAGCCGCGGUAAUACGUAGGGUGCAAGCGUUGUCCGGAAUUAUUGGGCGUAAAGAGCUCGUAGGCGGUUUGUCACGUCGGCUGUGAAAACCUGGGGCUCAACCCCGGGCCUGCAGCCGAUACGGGCUCAACUAGAAUUCGGUAGGGGAGACUGGAAUUCCUGGUGUAGCGGUGAAAUGCGCAGAUAUCAGGAGGAACACCGGUGGCGAAGGCGGGUCUCUGGGCCGAUAUUGACGCUGAGGAGCGAAAGCGUGGGGAGCAAACAGGAUUAGAUACCCCUGGUAGUCCACGCCGUAAACGGUGGGCACUAGGUGUGGGCCACAUUCCACG
rnacentral:rRNA from 1 species